rnacentral:rRNA from 1 species
CUUUGAAGAGAGAGUUCAAGAGGGCGUGAAACCGCUGAGAAGGAAACGGAUAGAGUUGACGAAACACAGCGGCAUUCAUCCGACCUGUCCUGGCAACUGGCUGCCCGGUAUAGAUCGUUCUCCUCGGGGAAUGACGGUCUGGCUGUCAGCUUAGUCGGCUGGUUGGUGCUUUUGCCGUUGGUAUGCGCGGAGACGUUCGCUGUGGCGUGUCGACGUCGAUGUCAGAGGACCAGUGCCAAAUGGUACUGGAAACCUGACUCGGCUUAGGUAUGUUCGCGGUGAAACGGUAACCACAUACGCCGCUUGCUAGUUGCGUAGCUGCCUCUGCAUAGUUGGGUGCGUUGUUGGGCGAUCGCGUGCGAUUUGUCUACAGCUGUAUUCCGGCUUGUUUCUGGCUAGUUACGUUGGCGGUGUAUCUCCGUGUAAAAGUCAGCCACCUAUCCGACCCGUCUUGAAACACGGACCAAGGAGUUUAGCAUAUGCGCAAGUCAUUGGGUGGUAAACCUAAAGGCGUAAUGAAAGUAAAGACUGCUUCGAGCGGUUGAUAUGGGAUCUGUGCUUGCUUGCAGGCGCAGCGCACCAUAGCCCCGUUCUUGUUGCUUGCAAUAGGGCGGAGGUAGAGCGUAUACGCUGAGACCCGAAAGAUGGUGAACUAUGCCUGAGCAGGAUGAAGCCAGAGGAAACUCUGGUGGAAGUCCGAAGCGGUUCUGACGUGCAAAUCGAUCGUCUGACUUGGGUAUAG